AAGACUAUAGACCUGCGGAGUACCUGCGGAAGGAUCAUUAUAGAGUUUUCUAAACUCCCAACCCAUGUGAACUUACCUUUGUUGCCUCGGCAGAAGCUACCCUGUAGCGGCUGCCGAUGGACCAUCAAACUCUUGUUAUUUUAUUGUUAUCUGAGCGUCUUAUUUUAAUAAGUCAAAACUUUCAGCAAUGGAUCUCU
rnacentral:misc_RNA from 1 species